AUUGAACGCUGGCGGCGUGCCUAAUACAUGCAAGUCGAACGAAGUGGCGCACGGGUGAGUAAUAUAUCGUUAAUCUUCCCUACACGGAGGUACAACAGUUGGAAACGACUGCUAAUACCUCAUAGUGUAGGAUGAGACUCUAUCGUAUCAGCUUGUUGGUAAGGUAAUGGUGUACCAAGGCUAUGACGCGUAACUGGUCUGACAGGAUGAUCAGUAAAAUUGUACCUGAGGCACGGGUCAGGCAUAUACGGGAAUGGGCAGGAAGGAAUAUUGCCCAAUGGGCGAAACCGUGACGGAGCAACGGGGCGUGGAGGACUACAAGUGUGGGAGCGGAAACUCCUGUUAACAGGAAAGCGGUACCCGAAGAAUAAGCACCGGCUAACUCCGUGCCAGCAGCCGCGGUAAUUC
rnacentral:rRNA from 1 species